CGCCCAGGGACGGACCAGCACCCCACCCCAGGAAAGGCAAUGUGGGAGGGGGCUGCAGCCGACGGGGCAAUUGGGAAAAGGGGAAAGAGAGCUGUUUACUCUCUCAGUGCGCAGGCGCGGGCGCGAAGCCUCUGGUUCUUAAAGACGCAGGAGGGCACUGACCUACUUCUAUUGGGGUUCUUCUCAGAGCUUGGCGCUAACCCCUUGGAAAGAUCCGAUCAUUCGUUCCUUCAUUCCGCAGACACCUACGGAGCUCGCCGCGCGCUGGGUGCUGGGCUCUCGGGCCACUGUGAGCUCACAGCACAGUAGCGGAGACAAAGUACACACACAGUCCCCAUACAGAGUGCAGAGAAGGGGCUGAUGGCAUCCUCUCUGGGGGAGAGGCAGUGACCGUGAUGGUUCUGUUUUGAGUUGGAUGUUAAAGGAUGAGAAGGAGUUAGCCAGAGACCCUCCAGCCUACCCAGUCCCAAGCACCUGGAAGAAGCUCUCCACAUGUUCCCUUGGGGCCUCCUCUCGGAGUGCAGGAUACGUAUACUUGCCCAUCAUGUCAUAGAUGGACUUCAUGAUAUCAAGCAUUUCCUGUUAGACCAAGAAAAAAAAAAAGGAUCUCUCUUCAGAGCCUCUAGCCUCCAAACCAGGAGGCCUAGGCCCUAGGCAGGCAACACCCUGCUGGUGAUGCCUAUGUGGGUCACAUUUCCUUCCUGUGGGCCUUUUACACCUCCCCUCCAGCUCUUCAGUUGUCGUGCAUACCUCCUUGGUGAUGCAGCCGUCCUUGUUGAGGUCAUACAGGUUGAAGGCCCAGUUCAGCCUGUCAUCUAUGGUUCCCCGAAGAAUCACUGACAAACCAGCCACAAAGUCCUGGGAAGGAGGCAGGGGGAGACAUGUCUUUAGAUCCUUUUACCCAACCUCCUCUCUGGGUUUGGCCCAUACAUUCUGGCCCUGAAGCCCUAGGCCUCCCUGGCCCACCUCCUCCAGCUUACCUCAAAAUUGACUGAGCCAUCAUGGUUGGUGUCAAAGGCAUUGAAGAGAAAAGUGGCAUAUGUGCUAGAGUCUGCAGAAUACGUGGGGAUCAGUAAGUGUGACUUCCGGACAGGGAUGGGGGAAGCACCAUAACAGGAAGCAGAGGGCUUCCUAUCUCUAUGGGAUUCCCCAAACACCUCUUAUCAUUGGCAUUCCCAGCCCCUCCAGAACCCUCUCCCCCACUCAGCCUAGAGAUGAACAGCUGCUUCCUUGCAGGCCUGUCCCCUCACCUCCUUGAGGAAAGAACUGGGAGUAAAUCUGCUUGAAGUUCUCCUCACUGACAAUUCCGCUGGGACAUUCCUGGGGAGGGGGGAGACCAAACUGAAGACAGAGACAAACCCCCUUCUACUUACUCUUCUUCCAGACCCCGCUCUCCUCCAUGCCCAGAGAUUCCCAGGCAAGGACAAAAUCUUCAUGUCUCCCAGAGGCUCAGCAUGCAGCUUUUCUAAUGGGAGGCAAGACUUCUCCCAGGACAUAAAUAAAAUAAAAUAAAUAAAAUAUAAGCACAGAACUAA